GCAUCAUUGGGGGAAACAAACUUAAAACUGCUGGCUGAAGCGUACGACGUGCUUGCUAGUAUCGAACUGCGCCUACUGUUUGAUGAAAUCGGCGAGGAAGGCCUGAAACGGGAACCGCAUUGUUACGAGUUCUCUAAAGAUAGUGAGCAACUGUUGAAGGAAACUACAGGAGAAGCUACUACUGUUGAUAGCAGCGCCAUCGUAAGAUAUCCUGGAAGUCCUGGGAUAGGCACCAAAAAACCAACGUUCGUUUUGAGCUCCCCUAUCAAGUUGAUGGUCAACGUGGACCUGCUAGAGUGCUUCUAUGGAUUCAUCAGGAACAUUCAUUACACCAGAGCAGUGGUUCGCAACGGAAUCAUAACCUGGCGCCAUGAGUACGCAACGGUUUGCCUCAAACCCGGUUUACCACACAAAACGAUCGUCGUCCUUCCGGGUGCGGGCCACAUCUACGAAAAUUUUCCUCCCGGUGAGGUUCAUCUUCUCUUCGAGCAGCUGCCGCAUCCACGCUUCAGUCGAUACGAGGCAGAUCUGCAUUUGCAGCAACCGCUUGCACUGGCCGACGUGU